GUCUUCUUGAAGUUUAUUUGAAGUCUGACCUGCCCACUGAAAAUUAAAUGGCCGUGGUAUAUUGACCGUGCUAAGGUAGCAUAAUCAUUAGUUUCUUAAUUAGAAUCUGGAAUGAAGGGUUGAAUAAGAAAAAAGCUGUCUCUAUUUAAUUAUUUUAGAAAUUUAUAUUUAAAUUAAAAAGUUUAAAUUUAUUUGAAAGACGAGAAGACCCUAUAGAGUUUAAUUAUAUAAAGAUUAUUUAUUUAAGAAUUAUUAAAAAUAAUUAUAAAAUAAUUUAGUUGGGGUGAUUAAAAAAUUUAAAAAACUUUUUUUUAUUAAGUACAUUAAUUAGUGAGUAAAUGAUCCAGAUAUUUUGAUUAAAAGAAUAAAUUACCUUAGGGAUAACAGCGUAAUUUUUUUAGAGAGUUCAUAUUAAAAAAAAAGAUUGCGACCUCGAUGUUGGAUUAAAAUUUAUAUUUGGUGUAGGGGCUAAAUAAUUAAGUCUGUUCGACUUUUAAAAUUUUACA
rnacentral:rRNA from 1 species